rnacentral:rRNA from 1 species
CAGCAGCCACGGUAAUACGUAGGGGGCAAGCGUUAUCCGGAAUUAUUGGGCGUAAAGAGUACGUAGGUGGCUAUAUAAGCGCAUGGUGAAAGGCAGAGGCUUAACCACUGUUAGCCUUGCGAACUGUAUAGCUUGAGUGCAGGAGAGGGAAGCGGAAUUCCUAGCGUAGCGGUGAAAUGCGUAGAUAUAUGGAGGAACACCGGUGGCGAAAGCGGCUCUCUGGCUUGUAACUGACGCUGAGGCUCGAAAGCGUGGGGAGCAAACAGGAUUAGAUACCCCCGUAGUCCCUGUCUCUUAUACA